ensembl:lncRNA
AGCAAAAUAUGCCACCUCUCACUGAUGUGUCCAGGUCAACAUUUUAAGUAUGGUAUUGCUGCAAGACAGUUGCAAGCACACAACAAAAUCUCCACUGGCAAAAGAAGAAAAACAGCAGCUCUUGGAUUUUCAUUGCCUGAUUUGCAGAGGGUCUGAGCUUUCUGUUAUUGUACUGUAAUGCUCAAUAAGAGAAAAUCUCAGAACUCUGCUCUGGCGCAACCUUGUUCUCAAAGGAAAGAAACCGUUAAAUAUUGAAAGAUGUUCUCAGAUUUGUUUUUUUGUUUGCUGUUUUAUAGUUAUAUUAUUUUCAUGUAAUAUUUUUGAAGGUUGCAUGUUUUUUAUUGCCUCCCUUAUAUAUUCCAGUGAUCACCUGUCUAGUAAUCUUACUAGUCUGAAACCAGUACCUGGUGCGUUAUUCUACUAGCUAAAAAAUGGAAAAAAAAUAAUAAAUAAGGAUGAACUGCUGGCCCA